GACAGAGGAUGCAAGCGUUAUCCGGAAUGAUUGGGCGUAAAGCGUCUGUAGGUGGCUUUUUAAGUCCGCCGUCAAAUCCCGAGGCUCAACCCUGGACAGGCGGUGGAAACUACCAAGCCUGGAGUACGGUAGGGGCAGAGGGAAUUUCCGGUGGAGCGGUGAAAUGCGUAGAGAUCGGAAAGAACACCAACGGCGAAGCACUCUGCUGGGCCGACACUGACACUGAGAGACGAAAGCUAGGGGAGCGA
rnacentral:rRNA from 1 species